CUGUGGCGGCUGAAACAGGAGAGACGCGCGGCCUCUGACCCCACUCUCUGCAGCAAAUAUCUGCUUACGCCCCUGGACUCAUGGACGCUUCUUACUGCUGACUGGAAUUCAGUUGUUUUAUGUGCAGCCAUUUCAGUAUCCAAAUGAACUGUUGGACAUACACAAUGUACACAGAGAGACGUUCUUUAUUCAAGGGUGUUGUUUCUCAGCAGCUCCAUACGGAUGGCGAUGCGAGUGUGCCAGCCAAGAGGGAUGAUACGGAUGUAACGUGCUACGAUAGGUGGACGCAGCAGGUUCUGGACUGUGGAAGAACGGUCAGAGUUUCCAUAGAACACCUGAGGGAAAACAAGAUGGGCUGUUUGUCUUCUUACCCUGUUGUUUCCAGUUUGGUCCUUAUAGUAGAUCCAGUUGAGUUUCUCAUUGGUGCGGUACUGCACAGAGUACUUGGUUACCCACUCAUCAGAGUCACAGCGCCCCUGGGUCAGGAUCCCAGAAACCACUUUGACCAACUUCAGGUCAAUCUGAAGCCACUGUCACCAUACUGAGCAGUAUUUCAAAGAACUCACCCAAAUCCUUGGCUGUUGAGCCUUGCCUUGCUUGCAAUCCAGGAGGAGAACCAGCCUGUGUACUGGUCUUCAUUAGAGCAGCUCAUCUGAUCUGAAGUCACAGAUCCUGCCUCAAAACCCAGGGGCUUAUGACCGUUUCUCUUUCUUACCUGGCAUGCAGUCCAUCUCCUGCGACCAACUUGAUGAAGAACCUUUGGAAAGCAGUUUGCUAGAGGAUUCAUCGCAGUCACACUUGCAGACGUCACAGCGGGACUCAUGACGCCUGGAAAGGAGACCAAGCAUUCAGCGAGAGAGAUCAGUGUGAAUAUGGGGGUGGCGGGUCCUGAAUCAGACGAGUGAAAGCCUCUGCUCACCAAAAUCACACAGCUUCAGGAUAUCAUUGGCGCUGAUGAGGAGAUUUUCAGGCUUGAUAUCUGCAGAUUAGAUA